rnacentral:tRNA from 1 species
GCCCCCUUAGCUCAGUUGGUUAGAGCAGCGGACUUUUAAUCCGCGGGUCGUCGGUUCGAGCCCGACAGGGGGUA